AACGCGAAGAACCUUACCAGGUCUUGACAUCCUCUGAAAACCCUAGAGAUAGGGCUUCUCYUUCGGGAGCAGAGUGACAGGUGRUGCAUGGUUGUCGUCAGCUCGUGYCGUGAGAUGUUGGGUUAAGYCCCGCAACGAGCGCAAYCCUUGAYCUUAGUUGCCAUCAUUAAGUUGGGCACUCUAAGGUGACUGCCGGUGACAAACCGGAGGAAGGUGGGGAUGACGUCAAAUCAUCAUGCCCCUUAUGACCUGGGCUACACACGUGCUACAAUGGACGGUACAAAGAGCUGCAAGACCGCGAGGUGGAGCUAAUCUCAUAAAACCGUUCUCAGUUCGGAUUGUAGGCUGCAACUCGCCUACAUGAAGCUGGAAUCGCUAGUAAUCGCGGAUCAGCAUGCCGCGGUGAAUACGUUCCCGGGCCUUGUACACACCG
rnacentral:rRNA from 1 species